rnacentral:rRNA from 2 species
CUUGGUCAUUUAGAGGAAGUAAAAGUCGUAACAAGGUCUCCGUUGGUGAACCAGCGGAGGGAUCAUUACCGAGUUUACAACUCCCAAACCCCUGUGAACAUACCACUUGUUGCCUCGGCGGAUCAGCCCGCUCCCGGUAAAACGGGACGGCCCGCCAGAGGACCCCUAAACUCUGUUUCUAUAUGUAACUUCUGAGUAAAACCAUAAAUAAAUCAAAACUUUCAACAACGGAUCUCUUGGUUCUGGCAUCGAUGAAGAACGCAGCAAAAUGCGAUAAGUAAUGUGAAUUGCAGAAUUCAGUGAAUCAUCGAAUCUUUGAACGCACAUUGCGCCCGCCAGUAUUCUGGCGGGCAUGCCUGUUCGAGCGUCAUUUCAACCCUCAAGCCCUCGGGUUUGGUGUUGGGGAUCGGCGAGCCCUUGCGGCAAGCCGGCCCCGAAAUCUAGUGGCGGUCUCGCUGCAGCCUCCAUUGCGUAGUAGUAAAACCCUCGCAACUGGAACGCGGCGCGGCCAAGCCGUUAAACCCCCAACUUCUGAAUGUUGACCUCGGAUCAGGUAGGAAUACCCGCUGAACUUAAGCAUAUCAAUAAGCGGAGGA